rnacentral:rRNA from 1 species
GCUACGGGAGGCAGCAGUGGGGAAUAUUGGGCAAUGGAGGCAACUCUGACCCAGCAACGCCGCGUGAAUGAUGAAGGUCUUCGGAUUGUAAAGUUCUUUUCUAAGGGAAGAAGAAAGUGACGGUACCUUAGGAAUAAGCCUCGGCUAACUACGUGCCAGCAGCCGCGGUAAUACGUAGGUGGCAAGCGUUAUCCGGAUUUACUGGGUGUAAAGGGCGUGUAGGCGGGACUGCAAGUCAGAUGUGAAAACCAUGGGCUCAACCCAUGGCCUGCAUUUGAAACUGUAGUUCUUGAGUGUUGGAGAGGCAGGCGGAAUUCCGUGUGUAGCGGUGAAAUGCGUAGAUAUACGGAGGAACACCAGUGGCGAAGGCGGCCUGCUGGACAAUAACUGACGCUGAGGCGCGAAAGCGUGGGGAGCAAACAGGAUUAGAUACCCCAGUAGUC